UUUCUGCAAGGUUGUACACAACCUGACUGAAUGGGAACCCAAAGUCUGCUGCCUGGGACUUUGUUGAGAUCACAGGAGAAUGAAGGAAGUAAAAUAUCAAAAUAGAUCUUGGCUACAUAAUGCUGGCUACCAAAGGAAAUAAAUACAGAGAGCUGAAAUCAGAAGUGAUAAGAGCUCUGACUCUCCUGAUGAAGAGCAAAAGCUGAAUGCUACACAGCAACAUAAAGGGGAUGCCAGUUAUAAUUAAGGUAAAUUUAAAGCACUCUUCCAUGUAUGUUAAUGCUUUAUGUACAGCUAUGCAUGCAGCUAAAGGUAGAAAACAGGCUGGCAAAUAGAAAGAGAUUAAGUUCAUAGCAAAGGCUGUGUGUCCCCAAAAGGAAAGUAUUUAAAGAUUGGGAAUUGCUUCUUUCUUUUACCCAUGUUUCCCUCCCAACUCUAUCAGCCAACUUUCCACUAAGUCUUGCUCUGCUUUUAGUUAUCAACUUGUUUCUUUUUAAAUUCUAUUCGUGGGAAAAGACAGUAAGUAGACAAUAGUGGAAAACAGAAUUAGAUAAAUAUCUCGCAGUCUUUCCUGAGAAGCCUUUCCUAGAGAGCAACAACAGUCUAGAUAAGCUUUAACUUUUCCUUUUGCUUGCUUUAAGGACAGUUGUGAGAUGAAUGCUUCCAGUGUAUGCUUCGCUGUUUAUGUAUAAAUGUAAACUUCCUCCCCUGAGAAUCACCCCACAAAGAAACAAAUAGUGAUGAAAAAAGGUUUGGGGGAUGUAUUUGUAAAUGAUAAAAAUUGUGUACAUCCAUAGUAACAUCUUUUGGAUAAAGAUUUUUAAGGCAGCCUUUUUACUUUCAUAUGUUGGAAAAGUAAAACACAGCAAUUGCUUUUUUUCAUAACCAGUAACUACAUAGCUAGGUAUGCUGGGACAGGGAGGGACAAACAAACCUAAAGAUGACAGAUCUGUACAGAAUGCUGUUUGUUAGUAUGCCAGAUCUUAUUACAGAGCAGUGGGAGGCCUUGUACACUACGUACCAGCUCUAUGGGGACCUCCAUAUUUAAAACAAGAAGAAAAAAAUGUGAUUUGAAAAACCCCUCAUGGGCAGCCUUCAAAGGCACAGACGGGCUCUGACUGGAUUAACAUUUAUUGACUGUUUAAGCCUGCUUUUUUGCUUCAGGACAGAGAUACACAAGUUUAAUUGCAGAGGCUGUUCUGCUAACUGAUCACCAGAGUGGCAACCAAAGCUUUACUAAUCGGUCCUUCAUUAAAGAAAAGUCUCUAUUACAAAACAAAUUAAGCAUGCUCUGAUCCUAACCUACAGGUCCAAUGGCAUUACAACAAAGUUUAAGCUGUUAGAGCACUGGAAAACUUAUUAAGGUUUAGCGCUGAGAUAGCACUUUUGUAUUGAUUUUACAAUACACAGGUAUUAUGAUUUAUGGAGUGCUAGUGUCACUCUAACAAGCUGAAGGACACACAAUAUCAUCUCCAACAUCAUUAAAAUUCAGAAGCCUCCAGAACUAACUCAUCAACCACUGUACAUUGUCACAGACUAUAGAGCUGUAUUCCAGUUGGAAAAUGUCCUUUGCCUUCUGGACAGUUGUCUUCCUGAAUCGUUGAAUUAAAAAAAAAAAAAAAAAAGAAAAGAAAAAAAAAGAAAAAAAAGAA